rnacentral:sRNA from 1 species
ACACCGAAAGGAGGUGAUCCUGAAAUUGAGUAUUCUCAGGACGCGUGAGGUGGCCGUCCGCUAGCCGCCGGCCGACCCGUCGAGGUAACCGGCGGUAGGCGAAUACCAGACAGACACCCGGCCCGCAGGUCCACCGUUCGUCCACGGUGCCCGCCCGGUGCCGAGCGCAGUAGCGCCCGGUCGGGAGGGAAGUGACCUGCGGGCUGUCUGCU